ensembl:lncRNA
UUUGGUUGUUUCUUCCCCCACCCCCACCUCCACCUCCAGUCCUGCCUACACGGGAAGGAUUAAGGAUCAGCCUUUGGAGGUUACCUUCAGAGAAGCAGUUUUGGAGGCCAACUGGAAAUGCAUAUGAUCCCCUUGGGCUUAUGAGAGCCUCUGGUGCCUUCAUCCUACUCUGGGACUCCUUCCCCCACCCUUCUCUGGCCCAGCAAAGAGGCAUUCCAUUGACACACACGCCUUCUGCUCUGGGCUCACUUGGGAGAGAAGGUCACAUGGGGUUUGGGGCUGGUGAACAAGUUUGGGCAGGGCAGCUGUAAGGGAGGAACAGCAGUGUCACAGAACCCAGAAUUUAAAGGGGAGUUUUCCAGACAAAGCCACCUGGUUUACUGCCAAUGAGUCACAGAAGGUUCAAAGAUGAGAAUUUCCUGAUUGGCUAUCAGAGUCAGGUUUACACCCUGCUUCAUCUUGAGCACUUAUCACACUUAUCGUUUUUCACCAGCUGCAAAGAGAUAGACAAUGGGAGGUGCUAUUUUUCCUAUACCUGGUGUGUUCCCUCCUCCACAGAGACGGGUUUGGUUGCUGCCAAAGGCAACAGGUAAGCAAACCAAAGGAUAAUUUUAUGCCACCAGAGAUUGGAUGCUGCUUAACAACUACGUGCCCCACCUUUUUUUCCUGAUUUGAAGACUGAGGCUAUGGAUGGAGGAAGGAGGAAGUGGAAUGGGCCCAACUGAGGAGCACGAUAACUAUCUGAAGGUGCACAUAUGCCCAGCCUUUCAUCAGGUGAUCUUUAGGUCCUAGUAGGCCUUUAAUUAGCUUUCCACCAGAAGCACAUUUAUGUCCACUUUACAGAUG